GCGCGAGUGGCGAAAUUGGCAGACGCGCCAGACUUAGGAUCUGGUGAGGUAACUCGUGUGGGUUCAAGUCCCUCCUCGCGUA
rnacentral:tRNA from 1 species